rnacentral:rRNA from 1 species
GUGGGGAAUAUUGCACAAUGGGCGCAAGCCUGAUGCAGCCAUGCCGCGUGUGUGAAGAAGGCCUUCGGGUUGUAAAGCACUUUCAGCGAGGAGGAAGGGUUCAGUGUUAAUAGCACUGUUCAUUGACGUUACUCGCAGAAGAAGCACCGGCUAACUCCGUGCCAGCAGCCGCGGUAAUACGGAGGGUGCAAGCGUUAAUCGGAAUUACUGGGCGUAAAGCGCACGCAGGCGGUUUGUUAAGUCAGAUGUGAAAUCCCCGCGCUUAACGUGGGAACUGCAUUUGAAACUGGCAAGCUAGAGUCUUGUAGAGGGGGGUAGAAUUCCAGGUGUAGCGGUGAAAUGCGUAGAGAUCUGGAGGAAUACCGGUGGCGAAGGCGGCCCCCUGGACAAAGACUGACGCUCAGGUGCGAAAGCGUGGGGAGCAAACAGG